rnacentral:misc_RNA from 1 species
UUCAAGGCUUUAAUGUAACUGCUACCUAUUUCGAUAAAAAAAGGAAAGAAUUAUAGUUUCGGUUUCAGGGAUGAUAACUUACUAGUCUAAAUACAGAAAAUAAUGAAAAAUAUGGCGAGGAUAAGGAAGCCCAUUGUUGAAGAAAACAUGAGAUGUGAAAGCUGAGCACAAAGGGUAGUGUACAAGGAAAGAAGAUUGACCAAGAAGGUUCUGAAGAGGCAGAAAUGUGCUAUGAUGCCAACUGCCUGCUAAAGCCACAUUGCAAGAAAUAUGCUGUUUCCAGCGGUAACUGGUUUUGCCCUACACACUUCUUUACAUCAGA